UACGAAGGGGGCUAGCGUUGUUCGGAAUUACUGGGCGUAAAGCGUGCGCAGGCGGCUUCUCAAGUCAGGGGUGAAAGCCCAGAGCUCAACUCUGGAAUUGCCUUUGAGACUGAGUGGCUUGAGUACGAGAGAGGUGAGUGGAACUCCCAGUGUAGAGGUGAAAUUCGUAGAUAUUGGGAAGAACACCGGUGGCGAAGGCGGCUCACUGGCUCGUAACUGACGCUCAUGCACGACAGCGUGGGGAUCAAACAGG
rnacentral:rRNA from 1 species